ACAAAGCAAUAUAGAAACUCAAAGCAAUAAUAAGAAGUCCUUCUCUUAUUCAAUCAAUCAAGCAACAAUUCAAUCAAGCUCUCUAAGAAUCACUUAACGCACAUAUUCAUCAUUAUCAUCGUUUAUCAAUAUAUAGAGAGCUUCUAUUUCCUAAUCCUAUUAGUUAACAUAUCUAGAAGGCUUCCUAAAUACAUUAUACUUUCCAAUUCCUCAACAUG
rnacentral:lncRNA from 1 species